GCACCCGUAGCUCAGCUGGAUAGAGCGUCGCCCUCCGAAGGCAGAGGUCACAGGUUCGAAUCCUGUCGGAUGCGCCA
rnacentral:tRNA from 1 species